AUACGGAGGGUGCAAGCGUUAAUCGGAAUUACUGGGCGUAAAGAGUACGUAGGCGAUUUGUUAAGUUAGAUGUGAAAGCCCCGGGCUUAACCUGGGAACUGCAUUUAAAACUGGCAAACUAGAGUUGGGUAGAGGGAAGUGGAAUUUCAGGUGUAGCGGUGAAAUGCGUAGAGAUCUGAAGGAACACCAGUGGCGAAGGCGACUUCCUGGACUCAAACUGACGCUGAGGUACGAAAGCGUGGGUAGCAAACGGGAUUAGAAACCCCAGUAGUCC
rnacentral:rRNA from 1 species